UACGGAGGAUUCAAGCGUUAUCCGGAUUUAUUGGGUUUAAAGGGUGCGUAGGCGGUCGGAUAAGUUAGAGGUGAAAUCUCGGGGCUCAACUCCGAAAUUGCCUCUAAUACUGUAGGACUAGAGAGUAGUUGCGGUAGGCGGAAUGUAUGGUGUAGCGGUGAAAUGCUUAGAGAUCAUACAGAACUCCGAUUGCGAAGGCAGCAUACCGGCGCCCGACUGACGCUGAGGCACGAAAGCGUGGGUAUCGAACAGG
rnacentral:rRNA from 1 species